rnacentral:rRNA from 1 species
UACGAGAGUAUCUAGUGGCGAACGGGUGAGUAACGCGUUGGUGACCUACCCAAAGUGUGGGAUAACAGUCCGAAGGAUGCUAAUACCGCAUGUGGUAUCGGGUUUAGAAACUGGUAACUAAAGGAGCAAUUCGCUUUGGGAGGGACCUGCGUCCCAUCAGCUAGUUGGUGAGGUAACGGCUCACCAAGGCUACGACGGGUAGGGGACCUGAGAGGGUGACCCCCCACAAUGGAACUGAAACACGGUCCAUACACCUACGGGUGGCAGCAGUAGGGAAUAUUGCACAAUGGGCGAAAGCCUGAUGCAGCAACGCCGCGUGUGCGAUGAAGGCCUUCGGGUCGUAAAGCACUUUUCUGAGAGAUGAGCAAGGACAGUAUCUCAGGAAUAAGUCUCGGCUAACUACGUGCCAGCAGCCGCGGUAACACGUAGGAGGCGAGCAUUAUCCGGAUUCACUGGGCGUAAAGCGCGUGCAGGCGGUUUGGUAAGUUGGGCGUGAAAGCUCCCGGCUCAACUGGGAGAGGUCGUUCAAUACUACCGAACUAGAGAGCAGAAGAGGAAGAUGGAAUUCCCGGUGUAGUGGUGAAAUGCGUAGAUAUCGGGAGGAACACCAGUGGCGAAGGCGAUCUUCUGGUCUGUUUCUGACGCUCAGACGCGACAGCUAGGGUAGUAAACGGGAUUAGAGACCCCGGUAAUCCUAGCCGUAAACGAUGUGAACUUGGCGUUGGUGGCUUAAACACCAUCGGUGCCGAAGCAAACGCGAU